UCGUCCUAAAGGAAUAAGAGACUUAUACACGUACCUCUAACCCCUUUUCCUCACCCUCACCCCCAACUCAUCUGUGAUCAUCACGGUUGGCAAGAAUAUGACUCUGGACCUGUCAGAAGGGCAUCACCUUCAGAGCCCAGCCCUGCUCUCUCCUGAAGUCCUAUCAGCCAGGGAUGUGUCAGUGCACUGGCUUUAACGGUAAUAGCAAGCAGCUGAGCAAACCAGAGGGAGGUCAGACCUAAAGCUCUGGUCUCAUAAACAUCCGUUUCAAAUCAGGACCUUGGGCCAGUCCUCUUCUCGGCACACUCACCCCUACUGCGGAACUGGGAGACUAAAUCACCUCCCCUUAGCAGGGCCGCCAUCUGGCAACCUCGAACUCCACUCUGGAUGUCUGAACCUUUCCCUGGGAAACAAGAGCCUGAGCAGACAGGCUCGUCUACAAUCUGAGUGUCCUCAGCUUUUCUGGUAACAACAGAGCAGGGCAUAAGGUGUGAGCAGAGAAGCAAGCUGGGAGGCCCAAAGCUCUGUGUCAGGUCCACGUAGCCCCUCCUCAGUCCUGGGCUUCUCCCCCUAAUUCUUGUCCCAAUGACAGACACCCACCUGGACGAUCGCAGCGACAAAGUCAACUCAGGAUCCGUGGUGGACAGGACGUAACACCUGGAAUAAGAGCAGAAGAGAAGGAAACGCUGAGCCAGCACCUUGGGAGAAGGGAGAGAGCCUCGGCUUCUUCUCCACAAGGCUGAGUGACAGGCAGAAGGAAGUGAGGGCUCUGUUCUUCAUCCUGCUGAACCCUGCCGAGGCACUCGGGACAAGUUCCCUCUCUGGGCCUGAGUUUACUAAUCUGUUUAGUCAAAACAACACUACCUGCUCUUCUUACCCAAGGAAGGUGCCGGGAGGACAAAAGGAGACAUAAGCCCUCUGGAGGCCCAUACAGCCUUGGGAGGAGAUCAGAACACAGAUACUUCCAAAGGGAAGAGCACUGGAAGACACUGGGAGAAAACAGCCAUGUGCAAGCCAAGGAGAGAGGCCUCAGCAGAACAAACCCUGCUGGUACCCUGGAGCUCAGACUGACAGCCUCCAAAACAGUGAAAAAAUAGACAUCUGUUGUUUAAGCUAAAAAA